UCGUAACAAGGUCUCCGUAGGUGAACCUGCGGAGGGAUCAUUACAAGAACGCCCGGGCUUCGGCCUGGUUAUUCAUAACCCUUUGUUGUCCGACUCUGUUGCCUCCGGGGCGACCCUGCCUUCGGGCGGGGGCUCCGGGUGGACACUUCAAACUCUUGCGUAACUUUGCAGUCUGAGUAAACUUAAUUAAUAAAUUAAAACUUUUAACAACGGAUCUCUUGGUUCUGGCAUCGAUGAAGAACGCAGCGAAAUGCGAUAAGUAAUGUGAAUUGCAGAAUUCAGUGAAUCAUCGAAUCUUUGAACGCACAUUGCGCCCCCUGGUAUUCCGGGGGGCAUGCCUGUUCGAGCGUCAUUUCACCACUCAAGCCUCGCUUGGUAUUGGGCAACGCGGUCCGCCGCGUGCCUCAAAUCGUCCGGCUGGGUCUUCUGUCCCCUAAGCGUUGUGGAAACUAUUCGCUAAAGGGUGUUCGGGAGGCUACGCCGUAAAACAACCCCAUUUCUAAGGUUGACCUCGGAUCAGGUAGGGAUACCCGCUGAACUUAAGCAUAUC
rnacentral:misc_RNA from 1 species